AGGACUAACGCUGGCGGCGUGCCUAACACAUGCAAGUCGAACGAGGUAGCAAUACCUAGUGGCAGACGGGUGAGUAACGCGUGGUCAACCUACCUCUUAGUGGGGGAUAACUAGCCGAAAGGUUAGCUAAUACCGCAUACGAUCGUCGCGAGGCAUCUCGUGACGAUGAAAGGAGCAAUUCGCUAAGAGAGGGGACUGCGUCCCAUUAGUUAGUUGGUGGGGUAAUGGCCCACCAAGACUCCGAUGGGUAGCUGGCUUGAGAGAGCGACCAGCCACACUGGAACUGAGACACGGUCCAGACUCCUACGGGAGGCAGCAGUGAGGAAUUUUCCGCAAUGGGCGCAAGCCUGACGGAGCGACGCCGCGUGUGGGAAGAAGGCCUUCGGGUCGUAAACCACUGUCGAAGGGGACGAUAUUGACGGUACCCUUGGAGGAAGCCCCGGCUAACUACGCGCCAGCAGCCGC
rnacentral:rRNA from 1 species